UACGGAGGGUCCAAGCGUUAUCCGGAUUUACUGGGUUUAAAGGGUGCGUAGGUGGUCAGAUCAGUCAGUGGUGAAAUCCUACAGCUUAACUGUAGAACUGCCAUUGAAACUUUUUGACUUGAGUAUAGUUGAGGCGGGUGGAAUGUAUCAUGUAGCGGUGAAAUGCUUAGAUAUGAUACAGAACACCGAUUGUGAAGGCAGCUCGCUAAACUAUUACUGACACUGAGGCACGAAAGCGUGGGUAUCGAACAGG
rnacentral:rRNA from 1 species